UCAAAUCAGGUGAGGUCUAGUAUAAGCC
rnacentral:sRNA from 1 species